CUUUAACAAUUCCAUUUUUAUAUCAGGACCCCUUUGUUCACAGUUUCUUCAAUAUUACAAUCGGAUUCUAUCUAAGAAGGUUGAUGCUGUUAUUAGAACGAGGAGCUAGAAGCAGGUCUUCUGGUAGCAGAGGCCAUUUUUCUCUACCCUUCUUAUUCUUUCUUUGUUCUCCUUCGGGUUGGUGGUGGUGGUGAUCUUGAUGUAUUCUAUUUUCAUUUUAAAAGAGGCUGUGAUGAUCCAUCAAUCUUGAGCUCUACAUUGGCAUGGGAAACAUUUCCUAUCCUGGAUUCCAAUAUUUGCAUUUUUCCUUAAUUUUUACCAAAAUAUCGUCCUUUCAGAUGGCAAGGCAAACUCAGAAUAACAGCUGGUCCACAGGCAGCCGCUUGCAGCCAUUUUUUGCUUUAUUGGAGAGAGUUGGAGACUCGCAGGAUGAUGGAUGAAAAAUGCUUCGAGACACCUGUUAUGCACAUGCAGAGACCUCCAAAUACUGAUUUGGCAACUCCAUGAUCAACCGAACCCAAUUUAAGAAACGAGGGUGUGGGGAAUAGGGAAAUCUUCUUCUAUUUAGGGCAUGUUGACUUGGCAAAAUGGUAAAAUUGUUCUACUGUGAUUUAAAGAUCACCGGAGCAAUGGUCUGCCGAACUGUCCGGUUUGAGUAGUGCCAAGCUGACCCGGUGUGAAAUCGGGUCGGUUUGGUGUUUAUUUUCAGUUCCAGCCGGAACCAGUUCCGAACCGGCCGGAAAAUGUGUGAACUGGCCGGAGCCGGUGCGAGCUGGUCGAAAUCGUCGGGAACCAACCGGUUCUAUUCGAACUUGAUGCAAUCGGGCGGUUUGCACCGAGUCGAUCCGGUUUUGAACCGGGCUCCCUUUAUUCUUUUGUCUGUUGCCUUAUAUGUUGUUGGGAAGGCUUAAGAAAGCCUUCCCGACAAUAGGUGAAAGUGGCGGAGAGGUUUCCGCCACUUUUUCUUCUCAACAACUAAAAACUCACACUGAUUCAGCUAUCUAGCACACCAAUAAAAGAAAAACAAAAAGCAUCUACAACUCCAAUAGUGUGUUAACGAGGAGUCAGUUCACUCAGAUUCAAAGAUAACGAGUUGCAGUUCUGGUGGAUUUGAGCCCAUUUUAAGAUAUUAUGUUGCUUACUGGGCUACACAUUAUUAUGUUUUUUUUUUUUCUGUUUUUCAGAUUCAGAUGUAUGAUUGCUUGGGACUUGGGGAGUACGCUAAAUUUUUUGAAGAUACUUUCAGUCAUUAGAGUUUUAGUCAGUCUAGUUAGAAUAUUUCAUUUAAUUUAUAUUGACUUAUGUCACUUUAGAACUAUUAAGAAUCAUUUGGAUAAAUUCUUGAUUAAAUAAUUUUUUUAGAAUUAUUAUUGAUUUGA